GCGGUGGAAUGCNNAGAUAUCGGGAGGAACACCAGUGGCGAAGGCGGCCUACUGGGCACUAACUGACGCUGAGGCUCGAAAGCAUGGGUAGCAAACAGGAUUAGAUACCCUGGUAGUCCAUGCCGUAAACGAUGAUUACUAGGUGUGGGAGGAUUGACCCCUUCCGUGCCGCAGUUAACACAAUAAGUAAUCCACCUGGGGAGUACGACCGCAAGGUUGAAACUCAAAGGAAUUGACGGGGGCCCGCACAAGCAGUGGAGUAUGUGGUUUAAUUCGAAGCAACGCGAAAAACCUUACCAGGUCUUGACAUCCCGUGCAUAGCUAAGAGAUUAGUGAAGUCCUUCGGGACACGGAGACAGGUGGUGCAUGGUUGUCGUCAGCUCGUGUCGUGAGAUGUUGGGUUAAGUCCCGCAACGAGCGCAACCCUUAUCUUUAGUUACUACGCAAGAGGACUCUAGAGAGACUGCCGUUGACAAAACGGAGGAAGGUGGGGAUGACGUCAAAUCAUCAUGCCCUUUAUGACCUGGGCCACACACGUACUACAAUGGCAAUUAACAAAGAGAAGCGAAACCGCGAGGUGGAGCGAACCUCAUAAAAAUUGUCUCAGUUCGGAUCGCAGGCUGCAACCCGCCUGCGUGAAGCCGGAAUUGCUAGUAAUCGCGGAUCAGCAUGCCGCGGUGAAUACGUUCCCGGGCCUUGUACACACCGCCCGUCACACCAUGAGAGCCGGGGGGACCCGAAGUNNNNNNNCUAACCGCAAGGAGGACGCCGCCGAAGGUAAAACUGGUGAUUGGGGUGAAGUGGUAACAAGGUAGCCGUAA
rnacentral:rRNA from 1 species